GACGAACGCUGGCGGCGUGCUUAACACAUGCAAGUCGAACGGUGAACGAGGGAGCUCGCUCCCUCCGGAUCAGUGGCGAACGGGUGAGUAACACGUGAGCAAUCUGCCCCGAACUCUGGGAUAAGCGUUGGAAACGACGUCUAAUACCGGAUACGACGCGGGAGGGCAUCCUCUCCGCGUGGAAAGAACUUCGGUUCGGGAUGAGCUCGCGGCCUAUCAGCUUGUUGGUGAGGUAACGGCUCACCAAGGCGACGACGGGUAGCCGGCCUGAGAGGGUGACGGGCCACACGGGGCGGGAGAACGGGCCCAGCCCCCGACGGGGGGAAGAAGGGGGGAAUAUGGCAAAAGGGGCGCAGGCUGGAGCCAGCAACGCGGGGGGGGGGAGGAGGGCUUUCGGUUUGUAACCCUUUUUUAGAGGGGAAGAAGGGAAAGGGAGGGACCCUGAAAAAAAAGCCCCGGCAAACUCCGUC
rnacentral:rRNA from 1 species